ACACGGUUUCACCGUGUUGGCCAGGCUGGUCUUGAACUCCUGACCUCAGGUGAUCCGCCCGCCUUGGCCUCCCAAAGUUCUGGAAUUACAGGUGCGAACCACUGGGCCUGGCCCGAAUCUUCUUCUUUAUUGCUUCAAGUUAACUGUGCUUGGGGGAUAAAGGGAGGAGUCUGAAUUUGUGGUGAGGCAGAUAGGGGGACACUGCAGUACUUUGAAGGAGUUACAAGCUUCUUAGAGGUAUUAGAGAGAGGUUCCACACCUAAGGCUGAUGUGGUCUUAGAUGGGGGUGAGGAACUUGUUGGGAACUGGAGCAAAAGUGACUCUUACUGUGCUUUAGCAAAGAGACUGGCAGCUUUUUCUCCCUGCCCUAGAGAUAUGUGGAACUCUGAACUUAAGAGAGAUGAUUUUGGGUAUCUGGUGGAAUAAGUUUCUAAGCAGCAAAACAUUCAAGAGGAAGCAUUGCAUAAAAAUUUGGAAAAUUUGCAACCUGACGAUGCAAUAGAAUAGAAAAACCCGGCUGGGCAUGGUUGCUCACACUUGUAAUCCCAGCACUUUGGGAGGGAGAGGAGGGCGGAUCACCUGAGGUCGGGAGUUCAAGACCAGCCUGACCAACAUGGAGAAACCUCGUCUCACUAAAAAUACAAAAUUAGCCGGGCAUGGUGGUGCAUGCCUGUAAUCCCAGCUACUUGGGAGGGUGAGGCAGGAGAAUCACUUGAACCUGGGAGGCCUCUGCCGGUGAGUCAAGAUCACACCAUUGCACUCCAGCCUGGGCAACAAGAGCGAAAUUCCGUCUCAAAAAAAAGAAAAAAAAGAAAAAAGAAAUUGGAGGGAGUAUAAAUAAGAACAGUUACUAUGGAAGACACUGUAAAGGACAUAAAGAAUAGAAAUGAGAAAAGUGAACCAAUGAAGUGGAAAUAUGGUAGAUUAAAAACAAUAUGGGAAAAUUAUGUAUAUAUAUACAUAUAUAUAAGAUGCAAAGGAAAUUAAAUAUGCAAUAUAUGCAUAGUUGAAAUCUCUAAAAAAUAAAACCAAAACAAUAGAUAAAACAUACAGCUAAAGAUAUAAUUCAAGAAAGUUUUCUUGAAAUUGGCCAGGCAUGGUGGCUAAUGCCUGUAACCCAGGCGUUUUGGGAGGCCAAGGAGGGAGGAUCACUUGAGGCCAGGAGUUCGAAACCAGACCAGGUAACAUAGUGAGACUCUGUCUCUCCUUUAAAAAGAAAAGAAAGUUCUCCUGAAAUAAAAGAGGCUUGAAUCUAUGAUGAAAGAGAAAGCUAGAUGUCAGGGAAAACUGAUCAAGAAUGUUUUUGUUGAGACCUGGCCUAGUAAAGUUAUUGAGUUUUAAAAAUAAAGAAAUUUAUGAGCAGCCAGGAAAAAAGAUAAAUUCCUUUUUUCUUUUAGGGGAUAAAAAUCAGGCUAGCCUUGGAUGUCUGCAGACCCAUGUUGAAUGCUGGAAGAGAUGGAGCAAGUAGUCAAGGAAAGAAAACAUGAGUCAGGGAUUUCAUUAAAAGACCAUAAAGUUUUUUUCCCUCUCCCCUCUCCCCUCCUUCUGGCAACCACUGAUCUUUUUACUGUCUCAAUAGUUUUGCCUUUCCAGAAUAUAGUAUAAUAUAGUUGGAUAUAUAUAAUUUAUAGCUUUUUCAGACUGACUUCUUCUUUUUGUUUUUUAUUGUUUGUUUGUUUGUUUUUGAGACAGAGUUUUGCUCUCGUUGCCCAGGCUGGAGUGCAAUGGUGUGAUCUUGGCUCACCGCAACUUUUGCCUCUUGGGUUCAAGUGAUUCUCCUGCCUCAACCUCCCGAGUAGCUGGGAUUACAGGCAUGCGCCACCACGCCCGGCUUGACUGACCUCUUUCACUUAGCAAUAUACACUUAAGCUUCCUCCAUGUCUUUUCAUGGCUUGAUAGCUCAUUUCUUUUUUAGCUGGAUAAUUUUCCUUUGCAUGGAUGUACCAUAGUUUGCUUAUCAUUUCAUGUACUGAAGGAUCUGUUGGUUGCUUCCAAUGUUUGGCAAUUAUGAAAAGCUGCUGUAGACAUUUGUGUUGGGGUUUUCAUGGGGAUAUAAGCAUUCAACUCCUUUGGGUAAAUACCUAGGAGCAUGAUUGCUGGAUUGUAUGGUAAGCCUAUGUUUAGCUUUAUUAGAAACUUCCAAACUGUCUUCCAGAGUGGUUAUACUAUUUUGCGUUCCAACCAGCAAUGAAUGAGAGUUUCUCUUGUUCCACAUCCUUGCCAACAUUUGGUGUUGUCAAUGUUUUGGAUUUUAGCCAUUUUAAUAGAUGUGUAGCAGAGUUCAACUGUUAUUUUAUUUUAUUUUAUUUUAUUUUAUUUUAUUUUUGAGACAGAGUCUUACUCUGCUGCCCAGGCUGGAGUGCAGUGAUACGAUCACUGCUCACUGCUGCCUUGACCUCUUGUCCUCCAGCAACCCUUCCACCUCAGCCUCCCAAGUAGCUGGAACCAUGGUGUGUGGCACCAAGCCUGGCUAAUUUAAAGAACGUUUUUUUGUAGAGACGGUGGUCUCCCUAUGUUGCCCAGACUGGUCUCGAACUCCUGGGCACAAGUGAUCCCCCAGCUUUGGCCACCCAGGUAUGAGCCACCGUGCCUGACCAUCCAAAUGUUACUUUAAUUUUAAAUUCCCUAAUGACAUAUGACGCUGAGCAUCUUUUCAUAUGCUAUUUGCCAUAUAUGUGCCUUCUUUGGUGAGGUGUCUCUUCAGAUAUUUUGCCCAUUUUGAAAUUGUGUAGUUUAUUUUCUUGAUGUUCAGUUUUUGGAGUUUAUUGUAAAUUUUGGAUACAACUCUUUAUCAGAUAUGUGUUUUGGAAAUAUUUUCUCCCAGUCUGUGGCUUGUCUUUAUUCUCUAAACCGUAGACAAUUUUGAGAAUGCAUGAUCUUAGGAAAUAUAGUUCUCAUGAGCCCUUCUUGAAGAAAUUACUGGAGGAUAAACUCGAGUCAACUAAGGGCUAGCAAAAAAGUAAAUUUUAGCAAAAGGAAGGCAGUGAAUGUUUAAUAUAUUUAACACAGAACUAAGACCAAAACAGGCCAGGUCCAGUGACUCACACCUGUAAUCCCAGCACUUUGG
rnacentral:lncRNA from 1 species